rnacentral:rRNA from 1 species
UACAGAGGGGGCAAGCGUUAUUCGGAAUUAUUGGGCGUAAAGGGCGCGUAGGCGGUCGGACAAGUGGAAGGUGAAAUCCCCGGGCUUAACCUGGGAACUGCCCUCCAAACUGUUUGACUUGAAUCCGGGAGAGGGAUGCAGAAUUCCAGGUGUAGCGGUGAAAUGCGCAGAUAUCAGGAGGAACACCGGUGGCGAAGGCGGAUCUCUGG